GCCUAAUACAUGCAAGUCGAACGCUUCUUUUACCACCGGAGCUUGCUCCACCGGAAAAAGAGGAGUGGCGAACGGGUGAGUAACACGUGGGUAACCUGCCCAUCAGAAGGGGAUAACACUUGGAAACAGGUGCUAAUACCGUAUAACAAUCGAAACCGCAUGGUUUUGAUUUGAAAGGCGCUUUCGGGUGUCGCUGAUGGAUGGACCCGCGGUGCAUUAGCUAGUUGGUGAGGUAACGGCUCACCAAGGCGACGAUGCAUAGCCGACCUGAGAGGGUGAUCGGCCACAUUGGGACUGAGACACGGCCCAAACUCCUACGGGAGGCAGCAGUAGGGAAUCUUCGGCAAUGGACGAAAGUCUGACCGAGCAACGCCGCGUGAGUGAAGAAGGUUUUCGGAUCGUAAAACUCUGUUGUUAGAGAAGAACAAGGAUGAGAGUAACUGUUCAUCCCUUGACGGUAUCUAACCAGAAAGCCACGGCUAACUACGUGCCAGCAGCCGCGGUAAUACGUAGGUGGCAAGCGUUGUCCGGAUUUAUUGGGCGUAAAGCGAGCGCAGGCGGUUUCUUAAGUCUGAUGUGAAAGCCCCCGGCUCAACCGGGGAGGGUCAUUGGAAACUGGGAGACUUGAGUGCAGAAGAGGAGAGUGGAAUUCCAUGUGUAGCGGUGAAAUGCGUAGAUAUAUGGAGGAACACCAGUGGCGAAGGCGGCUCUCUGGUCUGUAACUGACGCUGAGGCUCGAAAGCGUGGGGAGCAAACAGGAUUAGAUACCCUGGUAGUCCACGCCGUAAACGAUGAGUGCUAAGUGUUGGAGGGUUUCCGCCCUUCAGUGCUGCAGCUAACGCAUUAAGCACUCCGCCUGGGGAGUACGACCGCAAGGUUGAAACUCAAAGGAAUUGACGGGGGCCCGCACAAGCGGUGGAGCAUGUGGUUUAAUUCGAAGCAACGCGAAGAACCUUACCAGGUCUUGACAUCCUUUGACCACUCUAGAGAUAGAGCUUCCCCUUCGGGGGCAAAGUGACAGGUGGUGCAUGGUUGUCGUCAGCUCGUGUCGUGAGAUGUUGGGUUAAGUCCCGCAACGAGCGCAACCCUUAUUGUUAGUUGCCAUCAUUUAGUUGGGCACUCUAGCAAGACUGCCGUGACAACCGAGAGGAAGGUGGGGAUGACGUCAAAUCAUCAUGCCCCUUAUGACCUGGGCUACACACGUGCUACAAUGGGAAGUACAACGAGUCGCAAAGUCGCGAGGCUAAGCUAAUCUCUUAAAGCUUCUCUCAGUUCGGAUUGUAGGCUGCAACUCGCCUACAUGAAGCCGGAAUCGCUAGUAAUCGCGGAUCAGCACGCCGCGGUGAAUACGUUCCCGGGCCUUGUACACACCGCCCGUCACACCACGAGAGUUUGUAACACCCGAAGUCGUAGAGGUAACCUUUGGAGCCAGCCGCCUCAUAU
rnacentral:rRNA from 1 species